rnacentral:lncRNA from 1 species
CAGCAUAGCAAGUAAAUAAUUAUAUUCUAUUGUUUUCCAAACAUUAAUGUACACUUUCAAAACUUUCUGCUGUAAAACCAAAUAAUGUUUAAAAAAUCUUGGUAUAACAGCAUUUCCCUCCUGACGGCUCCUGCAAUUCUCAGAAGAAAAUGAAUUUCCUUCCCUUCUAUUUCUAUUCUGAUCAGAAGAACACUAUGAAAACAAGAAAAAAGUAUGUGCCUAGAUUUAUGGAGGAUACAAUUCAAAAUUCACUCAGGAGAACAGCAGUUCGUGGAAACAGUAAUCCCACAUCCAUCGCUGCCAGGACUCAGUCCUCCUCCUGCCACCUUCCUUGCGCUAUUCUGGAGGAGCACAAACGUACUGCAAAGUCUUCAGGGUGAAGUGCCACAGUGCCACAACCAAGCUUUUCCCUGACUUCGCAUGUAUGAAAACACAAACCCCAGCAGACACGCAGACAUGUGCAGGCAGGUAUGCACACACAGUCCUCUUAAUUUCUCAUUUUCUACAUCUUUCACUUUCUGAAAGCUUCCUCAUAAAAGACAGAAAAAGAAAGAAGUAAGAGAGAGAGAAAGAAAUGAAAAAGAUGUACUUCAUUGAAUUUUAUAGAAUAUGUAUGUAAAGCAUUUUGCUAAGUGCCUGGUGCACAGUAUGAACUUAAGAAAUGUUAGCCCUUUUUUCUUAACAGAGAUAACUAUUCAAACCAUUUCAAAAACCC